AUUGAACGCUGGCGGCAGGCCUAACACAUGCAAGUCGAACGAGUGGCGGACGGGUGAGUUAUGUCUGGGAAACUGCCUGAUGGAGGGGGAUAACUACUGGAAACGGUAGCUAAUACCGCAUACCAUCGGAUGUGCCCAGAUGGGGUUAGCUAGUAGGUGGGGUAACGGCGCACCUAGGCGACGAUCCCUAGCUGGUCUGAGAGGAUGACCAGCGACGCUGGAACUGAGACACGGUCCAGACUCCGACGGGAGGCAGAAGUGGGGAGUAUUGCACAAUGGGCGCAAGCCUGAGGCAGCCAUGCCGCGUGUAUGAGGAAGGCCUUCGGGUUGUAAAGUACUUUCAGAGGGGAGGCGUUACCCGCAGAAGAAGCACCGGCUAACUCCGUGCCAGCAGCCGCGGUAAUAC
rnacentral:rRNA from 1 species